rnacentral:rRNA from 1 species
CAGUAGCCGCGGUAAAACGGAGGGUGCAAGCGUUAAUCGGAAUUACUGGGCGUAAAGCGCACGCAGGCGGUCUGUCAAGUCGGAUGUGAAAUCCCCGGGCUUAACCUGGGAACUGCAUUUGAAACUGGCAGGCUAGAGUCUUGUAGAGGGGGGUAGAAUUCCAGGUGUAGCGGUGAAAUGCGUAGAGAUCUGGAGGAAUACCGGUGGCGAAGGCGGCCCCCUGGACAAAGACUGACGCUCAGGUGCGAAAGCGUGGGGAGCAAACAGGAUUAGAUACCCCAGUAGUCCCUGUCUCUUAUAC